rnacentral:piRNA from 1 species
UCUCCUCCAGCCAUAACCUUUCUGCCU